UACACAACCUGGGAAAGUUUUCAGCUGGA
rnacentral:piRNA from 1 species